CCCCGUGUUAGGAUUCUAUAUAUGUUAUUUUUUAAUGUCAAUUUAUGUGAUAUAAAUAGAAUUUAGAUAAUUAUAUUUUUAAUGUGUUUUAAAUAUUUUAAGUUUUUCACUGUUGUAAUUUAUAAUAUCUUUUAUGUAAUUUUCAAAUUAUACAUGUUACUCUCCCUGUUCAAACUUUUGUGGAAUUGAUAGUCAUUUAUAUUUAAAAUAAUUUAAGUUUUAAAUUAUUG
rnacentral:lncRNA from 1 species